CACGCCGUAAACGGUGGACACUAGGUGUGGGAUGCGAUCAACGCAUUCCGUGCCGCAGUUAACGCAUUAAGUGUCCCGCCUGGGGAGUACGAUCGCAAGAUUAAAACUCAAAGGAAUUGACGGGGGCCCGCACAAGCGGUGGAGUAUGUGGUUUAAUUCGAUGCAACGCGAAGAACCUUACCUGGUUUUGACAUGUAGGGUAACGGAAUGAAAGUUCCUGAUCCUUCGGGAUCCUACACAGGUGG
rnacentral:rRNA from 1 species